rnacentral:rRNA from 1 species
GCAACAGCUCAAAUUUGAAAUCUGGCCCCCCUUGGUCCGAGUUGUAAUUUGGAGAGGAUGUUUCUGGCGCGGCGCUUCCGGAGUUCCUUGGAACAGGACGCCACAGAGGGUGAGAGCCCCGUACGGUCGGCCGCCUAGCCUCCACGAAACUCCUUCGACGAGUCGAGUAGUUUGGGAAUGCUGCUCAAAAUGGGAGGUAAAUUUCUUCUAAAGCUAAAUACUGGCCAGAGACCGAUAGCGCACAA